rnacentral:rRNA from 1 species
GGGUUGUGAGGUUAAGCGACUAAGCGUACACGGUGGAUGCCCUGGCAGUCAGAGGCGAUGAAGGACGUGCUAAUCUGCGAAAAGCGUCGGUAAGGUGAUAUGAACCGUUAUAGCCGGCGAUGUCCGAAUGGGGAAACCCAGUGCAAUUCGUUGCACUAUCGUUAACUGAAUACAUAGGUUAACGAGGCGAACCGGGGGAACUGAAACAUCUAAGUACCCCGAGGAAAAGAAAUCAACCGAGAUUCCCCCAGUAGCGGCGAGCGAACGGGGAGCAGCCCAGAGUCUGAAUCAGCUUGUGUGUUAGUGGAACGGUCUGGAAAGUCCGACGGUACAGGGUGAUAGUCCCGUACACCAAAAUGCACAGGCUGUGAACUCGAAGAGUAGGGCGGGACACGUGGUAUCCUGUCUGAAUAUGGGGGGACCAUCCUCCAAGGCUAAAUACUCCUGACUGACCGAUAGUGAACCAGUACCGUGAGGGAAAGGCGAAAAGAACCCCGGCGAGGGGAGUGAAAAAGAACCUGAAACCGUGUACGUACAAGCAGUGGGAGCACCUUCGGGUGUGACUGCGUACCUUUUGUAUAAUGGGUCAGCGACUUAUAUUCUGUAGCAAGGUUAACCGUAUAGGGGAGCCGCAGGGAAACCGAGUCUUAACUGGGCGUUAAGUUGCAGGGUAUAGACCCGAAACCCGGUGAUCUAGCCAUGGGCAGGUUGAAGGUUGGGUAACACUAACUGGAGGACCGAACCGACUAAUGUUGAAAAAUUAGCGGAUGACUUGUGGCUGGGGGUGAAAGGCCAAUCAAACCGGGAGAUAGCUGGUUCUCCCCGAAAGCUAUUUAGGUAGCGCCUCGUGAAUUCAUCUUCGGGGGUAGAGCACUGUUUCGGCUAGGGGGUCAUCCCGACUUACCAACCCGAUGCAAACUACGAAUACCGAAGAAUGUUAUCACGGGAGACACACGGCGGGUGCUAACGUCCGUCGUGAAGAGGGAAACAACCCAGACCGCCAGCUAAGGUCCCAAAGUCAUGGUUAAGUGGGAAACGAUGUGGGAAGGCACAGACAGCCAGGAUGUUGGCUUAGAAGCAGCCAUCAUUUAAAGAAAGCGUAAUAGCUCACUGGUCGAGUCGGCCUGCGCGGAAGAUGUAACGGGGCUAAACCAUGCACCGAAGCUGCGGCAGCGACACUAUGUGUUGUUGGGUAGGGGAGCGUUCUGUAAGCCUGCGAAGGUGACCUGUGAGGGUUGCUGGAGGUAUCAGAAGUGCGAAUGCUGACAUAAGUAACGAUAAAGCGGGUGAAAAGCCCGCUCGCCGGAAGACCAAGGGUUCCUGUCCAACGUUAAUCGGGGCAGGGUGAGUCGACCCCUAAGGCGAGGCCGAAAGGCGUAGUCGAUGGGAAACAGGUUAAUAUUCCUGUACUUGGUGUUACUGCGAAGGGGGGACGGAGAAGGCUAUGUUAGCCGGGCGACGGUUGUCCCGGUUUAAGCAUGUAGGCUGGUUGUCCAGGCAAAUCCGGAUAAUCAAGGCUGAGGUGUGAUGACGAGGCACUACGGUGCUGAAGUAACAAAUGCCCUGCUUCCAGGAAAAGCCUCUAAGCAUCAGGUAACAUCAAAUCGUACCCCAAACCGACACAGGUGGUCAGGUAGAGAAUACCAAGGCGCUUGAGAGAACUCGGGUGAAGGAACUAGGCAAAAUGGUGCCGUAACUUCGGGAGAAGGCACGCUGGUGUGUAGGUGAAGUCCCUGCGGAUGGAGCUGAGACCAGUCGAAGAUACCAGCUGGCUGCAACUGUUUAUUAAAAACACAGCACUGUGCAAACACGAAAGUGGACGUAUACGGUGUGACGCCUGCCCGGUGCCGGAAGGUUAAUUGAUGGGGUUAUCCGUAAGGAGAAGCUCUUGAUCGAAGCCCCGGUAAACGGCGGCCGUAACUAUAACGGUCCUAAGGUAGCGAAAUUCCUUGUCGGGUAAGUUCCGACCUGCACGAAUGGCGUAAUGAUGGCCAGGCUGUCUCCACCCGAGACUCAGUGAAAUUGAACUCGCUGUGAAGAUGCAGUGUACCCGCGGCAAGACGGAAAGACCCCGUGAACCUUUACUAUAGCUUGACACUGAACAUUGAGCCUUGAUGUGUAGGAUAGGUGGGAGGCUUUGAAGCGUGGACGCCAGUCUGCGUGGAGCCAACCUUGAAAUACCACCCUUUAAUGUUUGAUGUUCUAACGUUGGCCCCUGACCGGGGUUGCGGACAGUGUCUGGUGGGUAGUUUGACUGGGGCGGUCUCCUCCCAAAGCGUAACGGAGGAGCACGAAGGUUAGCUAAUCCUGGUCGGACAUCAGGAGGUUAGUGCAAUGGCAUAAGCUAGCUUGACUGCGAGCGUGACGGCGCGAGCAGGUGCGAAAGCAGGUCAUAGUGAUCCGGUGGUUCUGAAUGGAAGGGCCAUCGCUCAACGGAUAAAAGGUACUCCGGGGAUAACAGGCUGAUACCGCCCAAGAGUUCAUAUCGACGGCGGUGUUUGGCACCUCGAUGUCGGCUCAUCACAUCCUGGGGCUGAAGUAGGUCCCAAGGGUAUGGCUGUUCGCCAUUUAAAGUGGUACGCGAGCUGGGUUUAGAACGUCGUGAGACAGUUCGGUCCCUAUCUGCCGUGGGCGCUGGAGAAUUGAGGGGGGCUGCUCCUAGUACGAGAGGACCGGAGUGGACGCAUCACUGGUGUUCGGGUUGUCAUGCCAAUGGCACUGCCCGGUAGCUAAAUGCGGAAGAGAUAAGUGCUGAAAGCAUCUAAGCACGAAACUUGCCCCGAGAUGAGUUCUCCCUGAGACUUUAAGUCUCCUGAAGGAACGUUAAAGACGAUGACGUUGAUAGGCCGGGUGUGUAAGCGCAGCGAUGCGUUGAGCUAACCGGUACUAAUGAACCGUGAGGCUUAACCUUACAACGCCGAAG